rnacentral:rRNA from 1 species
AUUGAACGCUGGCGGCAUGCCUUACACAUGCAAGUCGAACGGCAGCACGGGGGCAACCCUGGUGGCGAGUGGCGAACGGGUGAGUAAUACAUCGGAACGUGCCCAGUAGUGGGGGAUAGCCCGGCGAAAGCCGGAUUAAUACCGCAUACGACCUACGGGUGAAAGCGGGGGAUCGCAAGACCUCGCGCUAUCGGAGCGGCCGAUGUCAGAUUAGGUUGUUGGUGGGGUAAAGGCCUACCAAGCCGACGAUCUGUAGCUGGUCUGAGAGGACGACCAGCCACACUGGGACUGAGACACGGCCCAGACUCCUACGGGAGGCAGCAGUGGGGAAUUUUGGACAAUGGGGGCAACCCUGAUCCAGCCAUGCCGCGUGCGGGAAGAAGGCCUCGGUUGUAACGUAC